GGCGUGGGCAGCGCGGGGGGCGCCUCCGCCUCCAGCGCGGGCAGGCGCACGGUGAAGGUGCUGCCGCGGCCCCGGCCCGCGCUGUGCGC
rnacentral:tRNA from 1 species